AUUGAGGACAAAGUUUUAGGUGGACAGUCUGAACUGUGUGUGUCCUUAAUCAGUUAAAAGAAACCAAAAUGCCGUUAGCACUUUCUUCUUAGUUGUAGGGAUAUAGCUUUUUUUAAACUAUAAAAUUUAAAUGAACUAAAAGUAUGCAUUUUCUUACCCAUAAUUUAAAUGUUAUGAUAAAAUUCUGAUAAAAACAAUAUCUUAUUAAAAUAGCAAUAUUUUACAAAAAAAGAAACCCUUGAACUAAUUUCAUUUAAGUUAGAAGAUUUUUUUAAUACUAAAAUCUCAACAUGUGACAUUGAUUUAUUCAAAGGUUUUCUUUUGAGAGCCUUAUGUCUUUUGGACGGGGGGUGGGGGGUGGGGGGUUCUCUUUCCAUUUAUUUCUUAACCAGUUUUAUAGUUCACAGUUCAUUUUAGAUGCCAAACCAUUCUUUCCAAUGUGAGAGGAACCUGAACACACACUACUGUGACCAAAUUUCAGGAUUUAUGGAAGGUUAUAAGGAUCUCUAUGUGUAAAGAAACAAAGACCCUUUGUGCAAUUAUUGACCAGGAGGAGUCUGAGCAGCUCAGAUGAGAAGGAGAGUGAAUUUUCAUACUAUGUGCUUUCCUAAGAGCUUGAUCUGCCCAAAAUUUGUAGUUGAGUUUAAUUCAAUAUAAUUCCUUGUGGAAGUUUUGGAAAUUGUACUUUGGGAUUAACAGUUACUGUCAGUACUUCUGACUGAGCAUCACAUUGAUAGUAACCACAAGAGCAUAUUUUUAGGAAGCUUUCAGCAAACCUAGGACUUUUAUAAGAGAGUUUUUAACCUGAAGCUCAGAAAUGUCACCUAUGGUUUUCCUUUGAGAUGAAACCUAAUUUCUAAUUAUAUUAUUAUUAAAGGGCUUAAAAAUGCAUUAGCAAACUCUUCCUUUUAGUGCCAUUUACACACACAUGCAAACACAAACCCUUUACAUUUGGGGGGUUUAAAUAUAAUUCUUAAAUAGCUAUCUUCUUCUUCCUCUUCUAAAGAGUGUCUUACAUUUGUUACAUCAAAUAUAAUCAGAAUCAGAAUAUUUACAUAUACCCAAAUUAACUUAGGCUUAUAUAUUAGGAUGUAAGAAUAGCAUCUGUUUGUAAAUAUAUAAAGCCUCUUAAUGAUCUGGAAUUGUUUGAACAUUUGAUUUUUAUGCAGCAAAAUUUUUCAAACAAGUGGUUUGAAUCUGCUACUUAACUAUGUCCUGCUACUAUUUGUGAUGGAAUAUUAGCAAAUUUCAAAUAAUGUUUCUCUGUAACAGAGAACAUGAAUGGAUACCAGAAUUUUAUUUUCCUAACUAUGUGUGUAGUACUUUUCCUCAGUUCUCUAUGCCAGGCAGUCAUUCCAUAAAUUAUCUUAUACAAUUAAAAUUAAAAAAAUAAAAAAUAAAAAAAGAAUAGCAGGAAAAUGUGAAAAUAGUUUCAAUAUAUUUUAGAAUUUCCGUAUGUAAAAUGUUUUGUUUAAUUGUAUGACUAUCAUGACUAAGUCCUGUAUUUUAUAGUUAUAGAUUGGUUUCUUUUUAAGUGUGAAAACUUAAUCUUAAACAUUUUUAAACUGGACCUGUACUAUCCUGAAUAUAAUAUUUUAAAAUUAAAAAAAAUGACUUCUUUAUUGUUCUAUAGAAUACUUUCAUAUCUAAUUAAUGUAUUAAUUGGUUUAUAUUUGAAUGAAUUCAAUUAUAAUUUAAGCCUGAAGCUUCAUUUCAUCUUGUUACAUCCCUUUCAGAAGAUUGCCUCAUCUCCUUAUGUAAAUCACAUGAUUCAUGCCCAUAAAUGAGCCAUGGAAGAUAGAGAACAUUUUAUAUUGCAAGUCAUAGUUAGAUAUAUAAUAUCAAAAUAGUGGUCUUUUCAAAAUUCACAUCAAAAACAAAAUUUGUACUUUUUUAGUAGAUUAAUAUAAUUUGUUUACUUUGGGAAUUAUAUCUCAACCUAUAAAAUUAAGGAUUAUUUUAAUAGAUGCUGAAAUUGAAGAGCAAACUAAAGAUACUCAAUAGAUUUAUGGAAUUUCCUGUAAGAUAUAUGAAUUUCACAUAAAAAUAUAUCAUCAAAAGUAUUUUCAUUUAAGAUUUUUUUAGUGGCACGAUUUUUAAAAAUGUUUUAGAGUUAGUAUUUAACUAAGACAAGAUAAUGUCAUUUAGGAGAAUGAUUUUUAUUUAGCACAGUAAUACAUUUUAUUUUUGUGUUCUUAUAGCAUAUCAGCUCUAUCCAUCUUCCUUACCUGAGAAUUUAGUAUUUUUUGAGCAGUUCAAGGAGUAACCAAGGCAACCUUAUGAAUAACUUUCUAUUCUUCAUCCAUAUAAACACUAUCACUGCCCUAGAUUGUGAUGUUAUUAAAUGUCACUGCGUAACAUAACUGUGAUUCAAGUCCAGUGACUCUGUAUUUUGCCUUAUUGAAUGCAAGUUAAAUGCUUAGGUUUACCCAUCUCCCUAAUGAAUAGUUCAUUAAUUGAUAAGGUUAUUUUUCAAAUAAUUUAAAACCUCUACGGUCCAUCUAUUCACUUGUGAUUUGUAGGCUAUAUAGUUACUGCAUAAUACAUCUAAUCUGAGAGGCAAAAUAAAAUUUCAACAAAUACUGUCAUGCCCAUUUUUCUCUUCCAUUUACACCAAUGCAGUAGAACAUACCAUUGUGUUUUAAACACUGGUUCAUCUUUUCAUAGGGUUUAUUGCCCAAUUACUGUUUGUGUUUUCCAUCAAGCCUUGGGUAUUUCAAGGAAGGUCUUUCAUCAGUCUUCUCUGUGUGUCCCUAUAAGCAAUAAAUUUACAGUGUUUUCUCUGCUUGGUUCACUAGUAGGCCCCUCAAGGAAGUCGCAUAGCCCUCGGGAAAUUUCAGUCCAAGAUAGAACUUUGCAAACUCCCCUCACCACCACCUGCCAGCCAGAAACUGUUUAGCUCCAACAGUGAACUACUGCUGUUCCCUUAGUUAAGAUUACAUUCAGAAGUUUUGUUUAAGAUGGAUUGGGUCCUUGAGAGGGCAUAGCUUUGUGAUGUAGCUCUGAUUGGGGGGGGGCAAGGGGGCAGUUUGCAAAAACUGUCAUUGGUAACUAAAUCCACCAUAUAUUUUUUUCCAUUGCAAAAUUCCCAAAGAACACUGACUGCUGUCUUUAUUUUAAAAGACUGUGAUUCAAAAUGUAAUCAGGUUUUAAGGAAGAUAAUAGGCAAUCAGGAGGUGAAAAGUAUUAUAAGCAAACCUAUGGCUAAGCCCCACCAGGAAAGUAGUCUCCAUUCACGCUGAAAUCUGCACCACCCUAUUCUCCAUCCAGCUGGGACAGAGCAUGACAUUUUCCACUAGGGCCAUGAGUAUAGCUCUGAAGCAGCCAGAUGUCAAUAUAAGUACUUUCCUGCCUUCACAUUGAACUGUGACUAGUAGUUCUGGUUCUAUUGUUUGUUUGUCCGUUAUUUAUACCUUAGAUCCUUAACCUCAUCCCUCUUAGGGCUUGCUAAAAAAGAGUCAUUAAUUUAGUUGUGAGGUGACUGUGAAGAAAUCACUUUAGGAAACUGUCUUUUGACACAUUGCCAACAUGGGGUAUAGAUAUAUGUGUUAAAGACAAAGAAUAGCUCUGCAAUUAGGUGCUCACUUGCAGGCAGGUCUUUUUGUGAGGUUUAGUUGAAAACGUAAUUAUUAAGAAAGUGGUGCAAAGCAAAUUCAAACAAAUUCCAAGUCUAGCUUGAAAAACUGAAAAGGUUCUUAAGUUCUGUCUGAUGCAUAAAGGGGUAGAAGCAAAGGAAUUACAUUCCAAAGCCAAGAAAGAGGGUGUACAAAAGCAGCUGAUCCACUUGACAUAGUUCAUAGCCUUUUGCAAAGGAAUAAAAGCCUGUUGAGCAGGGAACCAAAAGAUCUCAUUAUAGGAUGAAGCCAAGCCAUAUUAAAGCUUGUGCACUAGUAACUAUGUCUAAAAACAGCCUGCUGUUUUAUAUUGAACCAAUACAUUUCUUAACUUGGUAGGUUGCAGCGUAAAGAUGUACAGAGCCUGUCUGCUGGAUGCUAUGCCAAUUACAGAUGUGGCAGAGUGGUGUCAAACACCUACAAACAGUUAGUAUUGCAAGCAAUCUUAGAGUGAAACAAAAGAAGUUUUGAAAUGUCACCUCAAAACCUAGAGAGCACAGUUCAUCAUGUGUGUCUGACUCUUAAAGUUUUGAAAUCGCUUUUAUUAUAUAAUUUAAUUUGGACAUUGUAUGAUCCCUUAAUCAGAAUGCACCUUUCUUUUAAGAACAUGAAUAGUGCCUGAGAGAUAAGGAGAGUAUCUUUUAAAAGUAACACCUUCAGAUGACAAGGUAUCUCUGAUCAGCUCUGCAGAAACUGUUUCAUUGGUGCUGGAGUGAAGGAAGAGUGAAAUACUAAAGAAUACAUAUUAGACUUUGUUAGAUCAUCAGAAAGAAUAAUUGGACAUAUUUACACAAUUACAUUUUAGUAAACUAUUAUGCCCGAUUAACUAUAAUACAUAUUCUGAUAAAAGUACAUUAAAUUGCAAUCCAAAAGCAAUUUAGCUGCUGAGGACAUUAUUUUUUAUCUAAUUAUUCACAAAUUAAUGAAUAAAAUUAAAUUCCAAUCACUGAAGAAAAUGAAGAAAUGGUGAGAAUCGGAACUACAGGUUAGUUAAAGCAAAGAUAUGCAAUGCAUAACAGAAUUAAAGCAUUUCUUUUAUUCAAACUCGGUGCUUAAAAAAGAACAAAUCCAUCAUCUUGAAAUUUGACUUGUAGCUUGACAUUAAAAAUAAUAUGAGUAGAAUUUUCAGUGGGGUAAGCACAAAACUAGUUCAAGUUGUGUCACUCUCAAUUACUGUACUCAGGUGGUGUACCCAUUAAAAUUCCCACUUGUGGGUUCCGCUCACUAUGCAAAUGGGGUCAUUACCUGGAGAAUUUAAUUGGUUAUGACACUGGGAGUAGGACUUUUCCUUUCAAAAUAAACCUACUUACACACAUUUUCACUAGAAAUUUGAUUGUUAUAUAUACUUUGGUUUGUUUUGCUCUAUAAAUAUUUACUAAAAUUAGCCUGCCUUACUUAUUUACCUCCUACGAAUAAUUCAAAAUAGAUCCAAAUGACUUUGGUUUGGUUUUAUUUGUCUAUAAUACUAGUUGGAAUGAAUAUUUUUUUAAAAAAUUGCUCAUGACAACAUUAGUAAAAUUGUUUGUACCUUUUAAAC
rnacentral:lncRNA from 1 species